rnacentral:rRNA from 1 species
UACAGAGGUCCCAAGCGUCGUUCGGAUUCACUGGGCGUAAAGCGUGCGCAGACGGUUGCGUAAGUCAGAUGUGAAAGCCCCGGGCUCAACCUGGGAAUUGCAUUUGAGACUGCGUAGCUAGGGUGCGGAAGAGGGAAGCGGAAUUUCCGGUGUAGCGGUGAAAUGCGUAGAUAUCGGAAGGAACACCAGUGGCGAAAGCGGCUUCCUGGUCCAGCACCGACGUUCAGGCACGAAAGCGUGGGGAGCAAACAGG